UCCAGCUGAAAUGUUAGCUCUCCAGUAUCCAUUUUUUGGAGUAGCUUGUUCUGAGCUCCAGAAAAGGCAGUGCUGUUCUGGGAAAUGUCUGUAAGAGCGGAGGGCCGGUGGAAAGAAGAUCUGAGAGAAUAUUUAUGGGAACUGCAGAAGGGACACAGAGAAAGAAGUGUGGUUGAGAUGAAGGGAAGCUGUGUGGUCAGGGUCUGCUAAUGUGCCAGCAAUAGAAAGACACCUGCCAUAUAUAUCCUAAAUGAAAGGAGAAAAGGCAAAGAAAGAAGAAAAAAAGAGAAGUAAAAAUAGCC